rnacentral:rRNA from 1 species
AGUGAACGCUGGCGGUAGGCCUAACACAUGCAAGUCGAACGGCAGCACAGUAAGAGCUUGCUCUUACGGGUGGCGAGUGGCGGACUGGUGAGGAAUACAUCGGAAUCUACUUUUUCGUGGGGGAUAACGUAGGGAAACUUACGCUAAUACCGCAUACGACCUACGGGUGAAAGCAGGGGAUCUUCGGACCUUGCGCGAUUGAAUGAGCCGAUGUCGGAUUAGCUAGCUGGCGGGGUAAAGGCCCACCAAGGCGACGAUCCGUAGCUGGUCUGAGAGGAUGAUCAGCCACACUGGAACUGAGACACGGUCCAGACUCCUACGGGAGGCAGCAGUGGGGAAUAUUGGACAAUGGGCGCAAGCCUGAUCCAGCCAUACCGCGUGGGUGAAGAAGGCCUUCGGGUUGUAAAGCCCUUUUGUUGGGAAAGAAAAGCAGCAGGUUAAUACCCCGCUGUUCUGACGGUACCCAAAGAAUAAGCACCGGCUAACUUCGUG